rnacentral:rRNA from 1 species
UGGGGAAUAUUGCACAAUGGAGGGAACUCUGAUGCAGCGACGCCGCGUGAACGAAGAAGGCUUUCGAGUCGUAAAGUUCUUUUAUAUGGGAAGAUAAUGACGGUACCAUAAGAAAAAGCUCCGUCUAACUACGUGCCAGCAGCCGCGGUAAUACGUAGGGGGCUAGCGUUGUCCGGAAUCACUGGGCGUAAAGGGUUCGCAGGCGGAAAUGCAAGUCAGGUGUAAAAGGCAGUAGCUUAACUACUGUAAGCAUUUGAAACUGCAUAUCUUGAGAAGAGUAGAGGUAAGUGGAAUUUUUAGUGUAGCGGUGAAAUGCGUAGAUAUUAAAAAGAAUACCGGUGGCGAAGGCGACUUACUGGGCUCAUUCUGACGCUGAGGAACGAAAGCGUGGGUAGCAAACAGG